rnacentral:rRNA from 1 species
AGUGAACGCUGGCGGUAGGCCUAACACAUGCAAGUCGAACGGCAGCACAGUAAGAGCUUGCUCUUACGGGUGGCGAGUGGCGGACGGGUGAGGAAUACAUCGGAAUCUACUUUUUCGUGGGGGAUAACGUAGGGAAACUUACGCUAAUACCGCAUACGACCUACGGGAGAAAGCAGGGGAUCUUCGGACCUUUCGCGAUUGAAUGAGCCGAGGUCGGAUUAGCUAGUUGGCGGGGUAAAGGCCCACCAAGGCGACGAUCCGUAGCUGGUCUGAGAGGAUGAUCAGCCACACUGGAACUGAGACACGGUCCAGACUCCUACGGGAGGCAGCAGUGGGGAAUAUUGGACAAUGGGCGCAAGCCUGAUCCAGCCAUACCGCGUGGGUGAAGAAGGCCUUCGGGUUGUAAAGCCCUUUUGUUGGGAAAGAAAAGCAGCAGGUUAAUACCCCGCUGUUCUGACGGUACCCAAAGAAUAAGCACCGGCUAACUUCGUG